rnacentral:rRNA from 1 species
UACGAAGGGGGCUAGCGUUGCUCGGAAUCACUGGGCGUAAAGCGCACGUAGGCGGAUCUUUAAGUCAGGGGUGAAAUCCUGGAGCUCAACUCCAGAACUGCCUUUGAUACUGGGGAUCUCGAGUCCGGGAGAGGUGAGUGGAACUGCGAGUGUAGAGGUGAAAUUCGUAGAUAUUCGCAAGAACACCAGUGGCGAAGACGGCUCACUGGCCCGGUACUGACGCUGAGGUGCGAAAGCGUGGGGAGCAAACAGG